rfam:Triticum urartu cultivar G1812 contig411176, whole genome shotgun sequence.
CUAGUACUCCCUCCAUCCAGAAAUACUUGUCAUCAAAAUGGUUAAAAAGGAAUGUAUCUAGAUAUAUUUUAGUUCUAGAUACAUCUCUUUUUAUCCAUUUUAAUGACAAGUAUUUUCGGACAGAGGGAGUAUGAA